rnacentral:rRNA from 1 species
AGGGUGUAAACGCUGCAGACUUGGUGUUGGAAAUCCUUCGAGGGUAUUCAGUGCCGGAGAGAAGUUGUUAAGUCUGCUACUUGGGGAGUACGUCCGCAAGGAUGAAACUUAAAGGAAUUGGCGGGGGAGCACCGCAACGGGAGGAGCGUGCGGUUUAAUUGGAUUCAACACCGGAGAACUCACCAGGGGAGACUGUUACAUGAAACCCAGACUAAUGAUCUUGGUUGAUUUUCAGAGAGGUGGUGCAUGGCGUCAGUGACU